UCUCCGUUGGUGGACCAGCGGAGGGAUCAUUAUCGAGUUUAUAACUCCCAAACCCUAUGUGAACUUACCACUUGUUGCUUCGGCGCGCGCUUCGGUGCCGCCGAGGACACUUAAACUCUUUGUUUUUAUAAGCAUUUCUGAGUGGCCGAAAGGCAAAAUACAAAUGAAUCAAAACUUUCAACAACGGAUCUCUUGGUUCUG
rnacentral:misc_RNA from 1 species